rnacentral:lncRNA from 1 species
GUGGUAACAGGCUGGUGGUGGUAACAGCCUGGUGGUGGUAACAGUCUGGUGGUGGUAACAGCCUGGUGUGGUAACAGUCUGGUGGUAAAGUCUGGUGGUAACAGUCUACUGGUGGUAACAGCCUGGUGGUGGUAACAGCCUGGUGGUGGUAACAGUCUGGUGGUGGUAACAGUCUGGUGGUAAGUAUGGUGGUAACAGUCUACUGGUGGUAACAGUCUGGUGGUGGUAACAGCCUGGUGGUGGUAACAGCCUGGUGGUGGUAACAGUCUGGUGGUAACAGUCUACUGGUGGUAACAGUCUGGUGGUAACAGCCUGGUGGUGGUAACAGCCUGGUGGUGGUAACAGUCUGAUGGUGGUAACAGUCUAUAGACUGCUACAUUGUCUAUGUAAAUAUGUUACUGUAAUGUAUUCUAUAGACUGCUACAUUGUCUAUGUAAAUAUGUUUACUGUAAUGUAUUCUAUAGACUGCUACAUUGUCUAUGUAAAUAUUGUUGUUGUGAUACUAAUAAAGUUAUUGAUAAGUAACUAUAAGUCCUCUGUACUUCCCUUCUGCCUCUGUGUCCUUCAUUAUUAUAGUGUUUGGCAACUAUUGACCAAUAAGUCAAGUACACAGAACAGCCUGGUGGUAACAGCCUGGUGGUAACAGCCUGGUGGUAACAGUCUACUGGUGGUAACAGUCUGGUGGUAACAGCCUGGUGGUAACAGUCUGCUGGUGGUAACAGCCUGGUGGUGGUAACAGCCUGGUGGUGGUAACAGUCUGGUGGUGGUAACAGUCUGGUGGUGGUAACAGCCUGGUGGUGGUAACAGCCUGGUGGUAACAGCCUGGUGGUAACAGUCUGGUGGUGGUAACAGUCUGGUGGUGGUAACAGCCUGGUGGUAACAGUCUGGUGGUAACAGCCUGGUGGUAACAGCCUGGUGGUAACAGUCUGGUGGUGGUAACAGUCUGGUGGUAACAGUCUGGUGGUAACAGUCUGGUGGUGGUGACAGUCUGGUGGUGGUAACAGUCUGGUGGUGGUAACAGUCUGGUGGUGGUAACAGUCUGGCGGUGUUAACAGUCUGGUGGUAACAGUCUGGUGGUGGUAACAGUCUGGUGGUGGUAACAGUCUGGUGGUGGUAACAGUCUGGUGGUGGUAACAGUCUGGUGGUAACAGCCUGUUGGUAACAGCCUGGUGGUAACAGCCUGGUGGUGGUAACAGUCUGGUGGUGGUAACAGUCUGGUGGUGGUAAGUCUGGUGGUAACAGUCUAGUGGUGGUAACAGUCUGGUGGUGGUAACAGUCUGGUGGUAACAGUCUGGUGGUGGUAACAGCCUGGUGGUGGUAACAGCCUGGUGGUGGUAACAGUCUGGUGGUGGUAACAGCCUGGUGGUGGUAACAGUCU